rnacentral:tRNA from 1 species
GGAGACGUGGCGAAACGGUAGCCGCACUUGAAGGCUCAAACAAGAGGGAGCAAUCCUGUGAAGGUUCAAGUCCUUCCGUCUCCGCCA